rnacentral:rRNA from 1 species
AUGUAUGAUGCAAUGGUUCAUUGUGAUGUUCCGAUUGAUAACAGGAAAUUGUGGAAGAUUAAAAUCCCUCUAAGAGUGAAGAUAUUCCUCCUAAAUAGAGGGGUAAUCUUAACUAGAGAUAACCUGGCACGACGCAACUGGCAAGGCACCAAGGCGUGUGUCUUUUGCCAACAUGACGAGUCUAUUAAGCACUUAUUUUUUGAGUGUAAGUUCGCUCGGGCGGUUUGGGCCAUAGUUCAAGUAGCUUCAAAUUUAUACCCACCACGUAGUGCUCGUAACAUGUUCGGCAAUUGGUUGAGGGGUAUUGAUAAACAAUUUUCUGCACAUAUUCUUGUGGGGGCGGCUGCCUUAUGCUAG